rnacentral:rRNA from 1 species
GACGAACGCUGGCGGCGUGCUUAACACAUGCAAGUCGAACGGAAAGGCCCUGCUUUUGUGGGGUGCUCGAGUGGCGAACGGGUGAGUAACACGUGAGUAACCUGCCCUUGACUUUGGGAUAACUUCAGGAAACUGGGGCUAAUACCGGAUAGGAGCUCCUGCUGCAUGGUGGGGGUUGGAAAGUUUCGGCGGUUGGGGAUGGACUCGCGGCUUAUCAGCUUGUUGGUGGGGUAGUGGCUUACCAAGGCUUUGACGGGUAGCCGGCCUGAGAGGGUGACCGGCCACAUGGGGACUGAGAUACGGACCAGACUCCUACGGGAGGCAGCAGUGGGGAAUAUUGCACAAUGGGCGGAAGCCUGAUGCAGAAACGCCGCGUGCGGGAUGACGGCCUUCGGGUUGUAAACCGCUUUCGGCUGUGACGAAGCGUGAGUGACGGUAAUGGGUAAAGAAGCACCGGCUAACUACGUG